UGGACUGUUCUGUGCUUGUUUGGGAAGUC
rnacentral:piRNA from 1 species